AAAAUCAGCAACAGGUAGCAGCACAGCAUCCAAAGCCACCCACCUCCAAGCUUUCCCUUGGGCUGAACUGAGUUUGGGUUCCUGUCUGUUCACAAGAUGAUGUCAACCUGUGUGGCACCCAGAAGACUCACCAACCCCUGAGAGAGUAGCCAACCAUGAGUGCCAGGUAAAGGCAUGGCCCCCUCGGGUGCUCACACCGCUUCAAGAUUUCACUUGGUCGGAACAGUGAGUGCCUGGUGGGACUGGUCUGGAAGAUGGAGAUAUGACAAGCAGUGGCAUCCACAGCCAAAGAAAACAUGUUAUGGUACUGCUGCUGUUGGUGAGUAACUGAACACAGAAAAAGUGUCUUUUUCUCAGGUAAAGUCACUAGAAAGAAAAUUUUUAUCUCUUCUGGGUGACAUUCUAGGGCAAUAUUGUGAUCAAUGGUUUGAUUCCACAGGAGGCAUUCUUGCACCUCUUAGAUGAUGCUGACACUACCCCUCAUGAUGUCAAUGCUUGCUAAAUGAUAAGAUGUUCUGGAUGGCUCGCAAGCCAGGCCUCUGCAGCUUGCUCCCUUUGCUAAGUUGACGGACACUAAUGAUUACAUAUGGACAGACCAAAAGUCUGGACUGACUUGGUUUCGUGACAAAACCAAGCCCUGUAUCUGCCAGAACUGGACCAAAGGCCUUUUGUAUCAAAUAUUUCACAACCUGUUUUGUUCUCACAGACUGGCAGGGACACAUGGAGAUGAAACUGUCCAUAUUAAAGUACUGUGAAGCCACAAAGUAUAAAUAGUAAUCCAGGUCUCAUUUUCAUAGAAGUACAGAUACAGACAGAAAUCAAAGAGCCAUUGUUCCCUAACUUCCUUGCUGCUGCAAAGGGUUACUACUUAAUUGCACUACUUGUGCCUCCCUGACAGGCACCCGAUAUGUGACUCCCCCCACUAUUUCUAUAGAUAAAAUUGCUAUUGUAAAUCACAAGACUUUGACUCCAUUGCUGUUUAAGUCUUAAGACUGGUCUUUGAGGUGUUUUUCAAACUCUGCAUCCUGGAGA